rnacentral:rRNA from 1 species
AGGUAAUAGAUACCCGGGUAGUCCUAGCUGUAAACGGUGCACGUUUGGUGUGGGAGGCAACCCCUUCCGUGCCGAAAGCUAAACGCGAUAAAACGUGCCGCCUGGGUAGUACGGUCGCAAGACUAAAACUCAAAGAAAUUGACGGGGACCCGCACAAGCGGUGGAGUAUGUGGCUUAAUUCGAUGCAACGCGAAGAACCUUACCAGGGCUUGACAUGUAUUGUAACCCCGGUGAAAGCCGGGCAGCAUGGAAACAUGCGCUUUACACAGGUGCUGCAUGGCUGUCGUCAGCUCGUGUCGUGAGAUGUUGGGUUAAGUCCCGCAACGAGCGCAACCCUUAUGAUUUGUUGCCACCGGUUCAUUCCGAGCACUCAAAUCAGACUGCCCAGAUUAACUGGGAGGAAGGUGGGGAUGACGUCAAGUCCGUAUGGCCCUUACGUCCUGGGCUGCACACGUACUACAAUGUCCAGUACAAAUUGAACCGAUACCGCAAGGU